rnacentral:rRNA from 1 species
AGAGUUUGAUCCUGGCUCAGGAUGAACGCUGACAGAAUGCUUAACACAUGCAAGUCUACUUGAACUUCGGUUUGGGUGGCGGACGGGUGAGUAACGCGUAAAGAACUUGCCUCACAGUUAGGGACAACAUUUGGAAACGAAUGCUAAUACCUGAUAUUAUGAUUUUAGGGCAUCCUAGGAUUAUGAAAGCUAUAUGCGCUGUGAGAGAGCUUUGCGUCCCAUUAGCUAGUUGGAGAGGUAACGGCUCACCAAGGCGAUGAUGGGUAGCCGGCCUGAGAGGGUGAACGGCCACAAGGGGACUGAGACACGGCCCUUACUCCUACGGGAGGCAGCAGUGGGGAAUAUUGGACAAUGGACCAAGAGUCUGAUCCAGCAAUUCUGUGUGCACGAUGAAGUUUUUCGGAAUGUAAAGUGCUUUCAGUUGGGAAGAAAAAAAUGACGGUACCAACAGAAGAAGUGACGGCUAAAUACGUGCCAGCAGCCGCGGUAAUACGUAUGUCACAAGCGUUAUCCGGAUUUAUUGGGCGUAAAGCGCGUCUAGGUGGUUAUGUAAGUCUGAUGUGAAAAUGCAGGGCUCAACUCUGUAUUGCGUUGGAAACUGUGUAACUAGAGUACUGGAGAGGUAAGCGGAACUACAAGUGUAGAGGUGAAAUUCGUAGAUAUUUGUAGGAAUGCCGAUGGGGAAGCCAGCUUACUGGACAGAUACUGACGCUAAAGCGCGAAAGCGUGGGUAGCAAACAGGAUUAGAUACCCUGGUAGUCCACGCCGUAAACGAUGAUUACUAGGUGUUGGGGGUCGAACCUCAGCGCCCAAGCAAACGCGAUAAGUAAUCCGCCUGGGGAGUACGUACGCAAGUAUGAAACUCAAAGGAAUUGACGGGGACCCGCACAAGCGGUGGAGCAUGUGGUUUAAUUCGACGCAACGCGAGGAACCUUACCAGCGUUUGACAUCUUAGGAAUGAGACAGAGAUGUUUCAGUGUCCCUUCGGGGAAACCUAAAGACAGGUGGUGCAUGGCUGUCGUCAGCUCGUGUCGUGAGAUGUUGGGUUAAGUCCCGCAACGAGCGCAACCC